AUUUACCCAAGGUGACCCUGUUUACCCAAGUUUCAGAAACUACAGAUAUCAGUGCUCUUUUAAACUGGACAAGUGUUCCUGGGAUAUCUGGGUAUUUAUUAACAUGGAGACAUAUUUCAGGGAUUAUAGGGGGAGCCAGGGAUACCAGGAGAACCAGGUCCUCCAGGACUUUCAGGACAGUCAGGGCCUCAGGGGCCACCAGGCACAUCAGUCGAGGGAGAUUCAGGAGAACCAGGUGAAAGAGGUCAACGUGGAAAGCCAGGACCGAAGGAGGAUAAAGGAGACAGAGGAGAGACUGGUAAAGCAGGUUUGCCAAGACCAAUAGGGCUUGAUGGAAAUCUUGGAAAUCCUGGACAAAAAGGGGAAAAGGGUGCUGAAGGGAUAGGUAUUCAAGGCAUACACGGACCAAAAGGAGAACCCAGUCAAAAGGAAUUAUUUCAGGAAUUUAUAUCUAAUAAAAUGUAUUUCUGCAAGAUAUUGUUUUACUUAAAUUAUCUUGUUAGACAUGAAUCUCUUUUUAUGUUUAAUAUUAUUUUUCUGGAGCUUUUAGGUACAUGAAAAGGAACAUGAAAGACUACUUGUACAUCUUCUGUUGUGUUUCAGCAACAGAACACACAUUUUAGAGCACUUUGUCGGUUUUUGAAAGAGUAAUUGUUAAGAGA